UACGGAGGGUGCAAGCGUUAUCCGGAUUCACUGGGUUUAAAGGGUGCGUAGGCGGACAGGUAAGUCAGUGGUGAAAUCUCUGGGCUUAACUCAGAAACUGCCGUUGAUACUAUUUGUCUUGAAUAUCAUGGAGGUAAGCGGAAUAUGUCAUGUAGCGGUGAAAUGCUUAGAUAUGACAUAGAACACCGGUGGCGAAGGCGGCUAUCUGGCCCGUAAUUGACGCUGAGGCGCGAAAGCGUGGGGAGCAAACAGG
rnacentral:rRNA from 1 species